rnacentral:rRNA from 1 species
UACGGAGGAUCCAAGCGUUAUCCGGAAUCAUUGGGUUUAAAGGGUCCGUAGGCGGUUUUGUAAGUCAGUGGUGAAAGCCCAUCGCUCAACGGUGGAACGGCCAUUGAUACUGCAAGACUUGAAUUAUUAGGAAGUAACUAGAAUAUGUAGUGUAGCGGUGAAAUGCUUAGAGAUUACAUGGAAUACCAAUUGCGAAGGCAGGUUACUACUAAUUGAUUGACGCUGAUGGACGAAAGCGUGGGGAGCAAACAGG